AGCCUUCCAUGCAGUGGUAGGUUUCCAUCCGUGUGGCGUUUUACAGCUGUUAGAGGCUGAUCUCUGCCAAGUCUUGUCGAGGUCACAUUAUGCCGAUUUAAACUUGGGUUUUGCUGAUUUAAAUUUGGCAAGGUUUGACACUUGGAGUUUCUAGCACAUAAUUUUACCAUAUGAGUUUUACUCCGAUCGGCUGCGCUGUGUUCAUGAUGCCGAUGGUUGCUGUCAACUGGAUACAAACACCUCCUGGGUCAUACUUUCAAACGAUUCAUGAGAAGGCUGGGAGGAGCUCCUGGAGGUUCCCCAGCUGGGCGGCCGUGCAGGCUGGGGGGCUGUGCCGCGCUGACCCCCACGAGGUUUCCCACCAAGAGUGGUGGGGGCCCCCUUCACUCGAUGCCCCUGCCAGCCUGGCACCUGGAGGAGGCCCACGUUUGGGAAGGAAGAUACGGGUGCAGAGGACGCUGUAUGGCCCGUGUUGUGCGUUCAGUCACUACAUCAGGCCCUCCCGUCUCCCAGAAGUACCAGUGGCCAGUCUGCACAGCGUGGCUUAGGACCACUGGAACCGACUGCACUGUGCAUAACCAGCUGUUCGCUCAUUGAGAUGCUAAGGUAAGGGUGGGCAGACUGAAAAUGAAAAUACAGAAAAGGAGAGAAAAGCCAGGAAACGGUGUUAUCGAGGUCACUGCUUUAGGCAAAAGGGCUAAAAACAGCCACCACCAAAACAACCCACCAGGACACCGAAUUAAGUAUGGAUUGCGUGGACACCUUAUAUGCAAGUCAGUCACUGAUCUGAAGCUCAGGUGUGCAGGGCGUCUGUCCUACGUGGCAGCCUCCCAGGAAGGCCAGCCUAAGCCACACCACUCCGCAGGGGGCCCUGGGCGCACUUCUUAUCCCCAUGUGAAGACCUUCAGGAGGCUGCAGGCACCUCCCCACCAAGAGGCGGCUCUUGUGUCCCCCCCUUGUAGCUGGAAUUUUCAGCAGCUUCUUGCCUGUUGUUGGACUUGGGGUGCUCGGUCAGACGAGAACCAUGCCUGUUUCUCCUCCCUGGUCCAUGUACUUGGACCCCAUCGGAACUUGGGGGCCCAGGUUGCCUGCAGAUGCCACGUCCUUCCCUCCUGUCCCGGGGUGCGCGGUGCCAGUGCAGGGGUCUGACCCCGUCUCCUGUCUGUCCUGCAGACGGAGCCCUUUGCGCUAAGCCCCACGUCACCAAGCCAGGACUCAGGCCCUGAACCAGCCAGGAGUCGCCUGAUGAACACUCGUAAGGCCGCCUGACUGAAAGGUCCCUGCCUCCCCAAAGGCAGGUACAGACAUCCCUCGUUCUGCUGUGCUUCGUAGAGGCUUUUUUUUUUUUUAAGACAAAUUGAAGGUUUGUGGCAACUGGAGUAAAGCAAGUCUACUGGUGCCAUUUUUCCAACAGCAAUUAUUAAGGUAUGUAUUUUUUAACACAGUUCUGUCGCACACUUAAUGGACUACAGUACAGUGUAAAACAUAACUUUUCUACGCACUGGGGAACCAGAAAAUCUGUGUGCCUUGUUUUACUGUAAUACUCGCUUCACUGCAGUGGAGCUGAAGCCGGUGUCUCCAAGGUCUGCCUGUGACCGUAGUAGCUCACUCGUUUGCCAAGGGUAACUGCUGUGGUCCCUCCAUGCUCCUGUGAAAGUCUUUCAUUUUGCGCAGCUCCUUGGAACUCCUUUUAUCUGCUGGGUUAGACGCUGCCCAGUUCAAAUCCAGUUUUGCUCAAAUACACUGAAAAGACUUAACAGUCCCUAGUUUCUCUUUGAACAGUCCUGGUGUUCGAACCUCGACGGCCCCAGGGGCGGUGAGCAGCCAGGCCCCCCGGGCUUGGCACCUCCUCUCCGGGUUCUGACUCCGCGCCCUUCACCUCAUGAGCUUUCAGACUUUAUCGGAACUUUUCUUUUUCUGGACGGGGUCUGGCAAUUGGCUGGAGUCAGACUGGGUCUGCCUGACUGGGUCUGCCAUCGAACCAGGUCUGACUUCAGCUGGUCUGGGUCCUUGCGACCUCAGGCAAAUAAAAUGUUUAGGUUAAACAAGCAGGUUACUCACCGAAGAUAAUCCUAAUUACAGUGGCUACAGAGGAGAGCUCCUAACCUGGAUAAGCUGAUCCGCUUAUGUGGUGUCCUAGGGAGAAAGGGCCUCAGCCAGGCACUCACGUGAAGGGUAGAGGGACACUGGUUUUUCCUCCUCAGCAGUUUCUGGGGAACAGGAAGACACCCCCCGGACACCCCAGGGUGUCACUGCAGAGCCUGCCGGCAGGCUCCUGAGAAAACGGAAAGGCCGCCGAGGGUGAGCGUUCUCGCCGGAGUCAGCUCUGCCGGGCCCCCACUGCGAUGGGGAGGAAGGGGAGAUCAGACCACAGGUCCUUGCAGUGUGACGCGUGGCCCCGCUUCCGGUCCCCGCGGGCUGUCGACCUGUCUCUCCCAGGGACGGCUCCUGCCGCAGUGCUGGUCUCGUUCUGCAUCUGAGAGCUUGGCAGCCGUCGGGUUGGAGGCCCCCAGGACACGCUGGGGCCCUGCGGACGGCGGCGGCGGCUCUCGGAGGCGCCGCCUACAUCGCCUGCACCGCCGGGGUGCUGAGUGCCCCCGGCGCAUGCACCGAGUGUCCUGGCUGAAACCUGACACGAUGCUUGGAGGCUUUGUUGGUUUCAAAGACGCUCUGUGGUCAGAAGUUGGCCGAGUUAGAGGCUGAUACUCAGAGCCCGAUGGGGACUUUCGUGAGGCCUUCUCUCCAAAGCUUAGGUGAAACUACGUUCCCAGACAGAAAGAGAAACACUGUGAAGGCUUCGCAGGAGGACUUACUAAAACGUUCCAGAGACACACAGCUCUGUCUGGAACACAGGACUCCUGACGUCCGUCUUAGUUGGAAACCUUCCCGCUGAUACAGAGGAGCCGACGGAAGGUAGUGUGGUGGGCAGCUGGGCGGCUGCCACCCGGGUCUCUGAGGGAUUGAGGCGACUGUCUCGUCUCACAGAACAGUCACGCGGCCCUGGAAACAGCCCAGCCCCCAGCUGUGCUUUUCACACCCCCCUCCAGACCGCCUCUGCUCGUCUCAGAAGCCUUGCUGGUGCCAUACGAGGUCUGGGCUUAGGGGACAGAGGUCGCGGUGCCUUCUGCUGUGGAGGCGCCCUCCCCGCACCUCUCCAGGCGGUGCUCGCCCGAGACAAAGGAGAGGCUGCCGAAAACUCGGGCUCUGAAGUGUCUUUAAAGUCUUCGCCAGGCAUCAGUGAAAACUUGUAGCCGUCUGAGCCAGGAGACUUACUCCAUGUGCCAGAAACACAAUUUGGAUCCAACUGUUCGUUUACAAAGUAAUGACUUUUGCACAAUUGUACGUCUCACCCUAAAAUUUUAAAACAGACGCUAUAAAAUACCUGUGUGUAUAUUUAUGUAUAUGUUAUAGAUGUGACUUUUUUUCCUACCUCAAAAUGGUAUUGCUGAAGUUAUUUUGUAAAGAGUUCAAUUUAAGCCAAUGAAAUAGAGAAACAAGUUCACUCUCAGAAAUACGGAAACUAACCCAAGUGCCUUCCCGGUUCGGGUGCUCUAGGCCGAGCUUCAGUAAGUAAACGCUAGCUUAAGUCUGUAGUUCAGUUACAAGAGGCAUGUCUUUAAAGUUAUCAUUGUAAAGUACAAUGCUUUUCUUCUGCCUAGGUUUACUGAAAGUCAGAUGCGCUCACGUUCUCUCUCACAGGAUUUGUCAGCAAGAAAGGUAACUUCAGAUUAUUAGUUGUUUGUCUUGUGAAAUUUUCAUGACUAAACAUGAUUGUUAAGAACAGUGAAUUAAAUAGACGUAAGAUAAAAGUUUACUUUAACUUUUCAACAAUGAUACUUUAUGGUAUGUCCACUUAAAAACCGUUUCCAAAACUUUUUUGGUAACGUGAAGCCUGUAAGUUACACUGAGAUAAGUUGAGUGACAGGUAUUCACUGAAUAUCCAGAUCAUUUCCAAGUAAGACGGGUGCUGAGACCUUCAUCACCACACGUUUCUCCACCUUCGGCUUCCUUGUAUAGAGAAACCAGAGAUACUGGAGUCUGUUAGUUAAUACGUUUUGUGCCACUGGAAAGCUUAAUCAGGAUAAAUAUGCUUCCAGAAAUCAAAAUGUGUUUAUAGACUCUCCAGCCCACAGAAUGCUGGUGUUAACCGGGGAUUAAGGGUUCUAAUCUCCGUGUGAUUAAAACUGUUAACUGUUCUGUUAAACAGACAAAGUUCUCUUAGGUUAUUGGUCUGCUCUUAAUAAGGCGUUGUAGUUUUUGUUUUACUUUUCAAAUCUGGACAGCAAAACUUUGUGUGUUACCACAAUAACUGCUUCACGCUCUAUCAGCCUUUGAUGACUCAAGGACAUCCGGUCUUCUCAGUGUUAAGAGCACUGACUUCUGCUUCCCUUCUGUAUGUGCCUUUAGUAUCUGCUGCUGUCACUUUGGUGAGACAAUUAAGUAUUAUUCCAUUCAAAUGUUCAACCUUCUUGACAUUGUCUCAAAAUAAAAUUAAAUAGUCUUUUUAACCUCAGAGUAACUUUGAGGUUUCCCACGGGGCUCCUGGAAAAUCCCAAAGCAUUUGCCUCUCAUCUUGUAAAAGAGAGAUGUUCGAUUAUGUUUAUUUGGUACGUUAAAAUAUGUGGGGGAAACUGUUGAAUAAGAAAUGAUAAACAUUCUUAGGUUAUGUAUGUAUGAAUCAUAUAUUUCUAAUACAGGUAUUCCAGACAUUGCCUUAAGUUUCUAGAAAUUUACCAGCACUCUUGCUGUUCAGUUAUCAUCCUGAAGUAUUGCAUGCCACAGAAAUAACUGUUUCCUUCCUUCCCAAAUGAACUCUCACCAGCUCUGUGACCACGGGCCUUUUCAAGUCGUUCAUCAUUUACAGACAGUUACUAUUUUUCUGGUGCUUCUGCGUAAGUGAGAUUCAUGGGAAGGACCCUACCAGGGUCUCGGCCACUGACCCCGCUGCCAGGGGACAAGGUGUUGACCCUCGCAUGUGUAUUUCAGAGCUGGAGGCCCCACCGGACGCCUGGUCCUGUGCAGACGCUGGGGACCGGGACUGCGUCCUCCCAAGUCGUCAGACCAGGAGGACCGAGGAUGUUUCUUUCCACUCCCUCCCACUCCGGCCAUCCUUUCCCUCGUUCCCCGUGAAGGCCUUCUGGAUUCUCCUGUCCACCUUUUGUCUUGCUCGGGCCUGGAAGGACAGCGCCAUUGUCUCAGGCCAUCAUGCAGGUGGGUCAUCUAACCCCCAUGACUGCUGGACUUGCCAUGAAGCUGAUGGUCCUGUGGCUCCUCUGUCCAUCCCACCUUCUCGCCGAUGUCCAGGGCCCUGGGGGUACAUCUCUGGUCAACAACCCCAAACCCAGGGGCGACCGCAUCCAGGUUCUGUGCAAAGAAAGGGACGCAGACAGGUGACCAGAACAAAACCACCGUCCCGUCUACAGACCCUGCAGCUUUAUUGGCCUCCGUGGCCAUACUCAAAACGAGGAUGCCACACUCAAAACGAGUCACCUGAGCCACACUCAAAACGAAUCACCAGAAGUCUCAAUUCUCAGCGACUCUUCUCCGGGCCAGGAGGAUGUGCCACGCGGCCGUGACCAGGAACCUCUCAGCUCGUGAAGACACUGCAGAAUCUGCUGCAGCCACCAGCCCAGGCUCUGUGGCCAAAGUUGUUCUGAUCAGAGGACAGCCCGUGGCUGCCUUGCAGGUGAGCAGACAGGGUCUGCUAGGAUUGGCCCACCUCCUGGAAAAGUGGGAACUCAGCUCCUGAGGUCACUGAACAAGCCACUUGGCUAAAGAAAGUGACUCCUUCAUCAGAGCUUUUCUUUGACCUGUCUGACUCUGGUUUGGGUCUUGGGGACUACAGACCCUGGGGGUGACCCUGCUGGUAGGAAGCGGUCGUCUUGCUGGGCACGGUGUCCUUGCAGAAGCUUUAAAAGCACAUUUGCAGCUGCUAACCAGCCAUCAAGCGACCUCUUUGAGGCUGGAGCCUCAGAGAAGGACCAAGAACGAGCGACGUAAAAACUGUGACCGCAGUGACCCGUGAACACAGCACGGACUCAGGGCCAACUCCCAGACGGUGGUGGGAGCAGCUCCGAUGCCUUAAAAUCCCGGGCAUGUCUCUCAGGCUGAGCGUCUGCUCAAAAGGGAAGACUCGUUAAAAACCAUGACAGUGAGCCCCACACAGAGUCGCUUCUGCGAAGCCCCCACGUCACCAAACUCAGACUUGAGGACGGCACCGGCUCCCUCAGGAAUGGAAUCUUAAACCGGGACUCGGGACUGGCCUGACCAGCACCAGCAUACAGGUAAACUAGUUUUGACAAAAGUAUGCAGUCAAGGAACCACCACCAACCCCAAUUCAGAACAUUUCCAUCGUCACACAAAGUGCCCCGGGCUUGUCUGCCAGCUGUUGGCCCAGAUAUCCAGUUGUUCCAGCACCAUUUGCUGAAAAGAAGACCCUUCCCUAUUCAACUGUCUUGGCAUCUUUGUUGAAAAUUACCUGCCCACGCCACACACAAAGGCAAACUCAAAGUGGCUUAAAGACUUCAGCAUAAGACACAGUAAACCUCUCAGAAGAAAACACAGGCAAAACAUUCUGACAUAAAUCUCAGCAGCAUUCUCCUAGGGCAUCUACUCAAGCAACAGAAAUAAAAGCAAAAAUAAACAAAUGGGACCUGAUUAAACUUACAAGCUUCUGCACAGCAAAGGAAACCACAACCAAAACAAAGACAACCUACAGAAUGCGAGAAAAUAUUUGCAAAAGAUGAGACUGACAGGGGCUUAUUUGCCAGAAUAUAUAAGCAGCUCAUACAACUUAAUAGGAAAAAAACAAACAACCCAAUCCAAAAAUGGCCAGAAGACCUAAACAAGCAAUUCUCCAAUGACAUAUGCAUGGCCAAGAGGCACAUGAAAAAAUGCUCAAUAUCACUAAUUAUCAGAGAAACGCAAAUCAAAACUACAAUGAGGUAUCACCUCACACCAGUCAGAAUAGACAUCAUUCAAAAUCCAUGAAUGAUAAAUCCUGGGGAGGGUGUGGAGAAAAGGGAGCCCUCCUACACUGCUGGGGGGAAUGCAGUUUGCUGCAGCCGUUGUGGAAAACAGUAUGGAGAUGCCUCAAAAAACUAAAAACAGACUUACCAUUUAUCCAGCAAUCCCACUCCUGAGCAUAUAUCCAGAAGGAACCUUCAUUCAAAACGAUACAUGCACCCCAACGCUCACAGCAGCACUACUUACAGUAGCCAAGACAUGGAAACAACCUGAACGUCCAUCGACAGGUGACUGGAUAAAGAAGUUGUGGUACACUGAUACAAUGGAAUACUACUCAGCCAUAAUAAAAUGCCAUUUGCAGCAACACAGAUGGACCUGGAGAUUGUCAUUCUAAGAGAAGCAAGCCAGAAAGAGAAAUAAAUACCACAUGAGAUCACUUACAUGAGGAAUCUAAAAAAGAAAAAAAGACAGACGAACUUACUUAGAAAGAGACUCACAUAGAAAACAAACCUGUGGUCACCGAGGGGUGGGGGGAAGGGAGAAGUUGGGAGUUCGAGAUUUGCAGAUAAUAAUAUAAAAAGCAGAUCAACAAGUUUAUGCUGUAGAGCACAGGGAACUGUAUUCAAUAUCCUGUAGUAACUUACGGUGAAGAAGUUUGAAAAACGUUUAAUGUAUGUGUCAGUGACUGAAGCAUUGUGCUGUACAACAGAAACUGACAAUUAACUGCUCACAUAUGUGCUGGCCUGUUUCUGCACUUUCUUUCCUCACCCUGUAUCUCCUGUCUCGAUUCCUUCAGCUUUAUUUUAAGUCUCAUAUCAGCUGUCCUUUUUCAAAAUUGUUCAGGCUAUUCUAGGACAUUUGUGUUUCCAUACAGAUUUUAGAAGAGCUUGUUAAUUUCUACCAAAAUCGCCUGUUUAGAUUUUGAUUGGAACUGACUCCACAGAUCAGUUUGGGAAAACCUAACAUAUUAACAAUAUUGAGAUAUUUACCAAAUUAUUUAGGUCUUUUUUCUUUUCAGGUUCAGUAUCAAUAGUUCAUUGCUAAUACACAAAUACAAUAGACGUGUGUAUCUGACCCUGUAUAACUACAAUGUUGCUAAACUCAUCCCAUUUUUUAUAAAUUCCUUAGGCUUUUAUAUAUAGACAGUUAUAUCACCUUUAUAAAGACUGAUUUCUCUCCAAUCCGUGUGCCUUUUUUCCCUUGUUUUAUCACACUGGCUAGAACGGCCUCAUCCAUGCUGAACAGAAGAGGUGAGAUCAGAAAUCUCCACUUGUACACCCAAUCCUAGAGGAAAGCCUUCAGACUUUCACCAUUAAGUGCAAUGUAAACCAUAGGUUUUUUGUUUUUGUUUUUGUUUUUGGUAAAUGCCCUUUAUCAUGCUAAGAAGGUGGUGACUGAAAGUUUUUAUCAGGAGUUAAAUGUCAAAUUCUGCCAAAUGAUCUUGUGGGUUUUCUUAUGUUUAGUCUGUUAACAUAAUGAACUGUAUUACUUCUAUCUUUAAAAGUCAUUUACUCCUCAAAGUUGAAAUCACCUGGAUAGACCCUCUUGAGCACUUUGCGAGUGAAGGAGUAGAACCGGUGAAGGCGAGAUGAGCCAUCCCUUUCUGCACUGGCUCUGGUUUGCCGUCAACUCCCCUGCCUGCGCCCUGUCCUGGGUCAGAGACCCUUCAUUUAGAGGCUGGUGGGCAACACCACAUGGCUGACAACCACCACCAGGAGGCCCAGCUGGUUAGUCACUAAACCUGAUCCCAGGCUGGAUCAUGAAGGGAAAAAUUAGUUAAAAACAGACAUUGGAAGCAGAAGAUAGCGUGGUAGGCAGGAAAGAAGAAAGAAAAACACAGAGGCCACCGGCUAGUCCUGCAGCACACGUCUAACGGUCUGAGCAGCGUCUCCUUCCCACAAAGCAUCUCCAUCUCCACACAAGUGUGAACCGUCACCCUCAAAGCAACAGAAGCCUGUGGGCUGCCUGUCCUGUAGCAGGAGCACACGUGCGCCCCCCAGCCAUCACGCCGUCCCGCCCUCACACCUGCCGACUCAUGCUCCUUGGAUGCGCCCUCUGGAUCCUGCCGUGGACUCCGCACGCGGCUGUAAGACGCUCCAGGGACUCAGGAUCUCAGCCUUGCCGUGGCCAGGGCACCAACGUCCAGCUCGCGGACCCAGGACAUCGGCAGUCACGUGCCACCUGCCUAUCACCAGGUAAAGACCGUCCCUCCGGGUCGUCAGUGCCUCCGCGUGCUUCCAGAGGGCACUCAGAGGCCUCAGAUUCUGCAGUGGAUCAUCGCCUGACUACUGCUCAUGCUUGGGAAGCUGCUCACAGGUACAGCCAAGCAGGAAAUGGCAAAACAUCUCUCAGUGAAACAGUCUUUAAUAAACCAAACAGCUUUCUAAAUUCAACGAAGCAUCUCCCUGAUAGCAAGCUGAUCAAUAACCCAGGACUGGGGACUUGAGCGAACUUCCCUUCAAAAGACAUUUAUAUCAUGUACUUUCUAAAAAGUAACUCACAGCGGUAGACAGAAGACCCCGGCGCAUUCUCUCUCCGUUUUGCUAUGAGCGCGAUGCAGCAGCAGCGAACUACUCACCUGUCUCUUAGCCUCUCUCAGUUUUCUUUUGAGGGCUGUCAGGAUCCUCUGCACUUCCCACAGGCGCUCCUCUUUAGACAAGUCCUUUAUCCCGCCCUGCAGGUCUCGAUGUAAACAAUUCAAAAGAAACUCCUAGAAAACCGUACACCACACACUGAAUAGCAUUCCACGUCUUACCAUCUUAAAAUAAAACCACAUGCAGUUUCUAAAGACGGAGAAGCAACUACCUCGCACUUAUCAUUAAAGAAACGACGUGGUAGCACCAACUGUUUCUUAAGGACACGACUGAAAAAUCAUUUUUGUUCUGCCUGAGCAGGGGGUCCUAAUCCAUCAGUUUACACUGGUUCAGGGGCAGUUAAUUCACCCCCUUCCCUCAACCCAUCAUCAACUGAUAGGAAACGGGAGCUCAGAACAGAUAAAAGAAAAACAAGCAGGGAUCUGAAACUGGUACCCAAACAAAAGGUGUAAAAAUGAUCAGAUGUAAGUAAAUUUCUUAGUCUUGAAUUCCUCAUUCAGCUCGGCAGACACACACACACACACACACACACACACACACAACCACGUGGCACUGUUCCAGCGGCAGAGUGGGAAGCACAGGACACAGUCAAAUCCGGGGUCUGCGGCUUAGCAAGCAGCCAGCAGAGCUCCGUAGCUCCCCCAGAUUUCAGUAUUCUUAUCUGUAGCACAGGGCCGACAACGCUGCCAGUCCAGGUAAGCUAACACUUCCGGGCUGCUCCCAGGAACCCGGCACCACCUUCGUACGGGGCCCCGGCACGGCCCCCGACACACAGGAAGGGCUGGGGAACGGGCCCCCCGGCGCAGGCGGCCGCGCACCUGCCUCCGGAUCUCCUCCUUGAUGCUCUCCUGGGCUUCGGGCAGCGUGGGCAUCGUGGCCAUGUUGGACCAGCGAAGAGGCUUCGUCACCUGCUUCAGCGUCACGUUCCCAAAGAGCUCUUG